UCCCUGGAGGACUAGUGGUCAGGCCUCGGUGCUCUCACUGCCGCAACCCGGGAUCGAUUCCCGGUCAGGGAA
rnacentral:tRNA from 1 species